rnacentral:lncRNA from 1 species
UCUUGAAAAAUGAGAAGAAAGAGAGGUUGAAUUGUAACAUGGAUACAUUUUGGACUGGAUGCCAGCCACUUGAAUAAGGACUGCAUCUGAGCUGCAAGCGGAAGACACAGUAGAUGUGACAUUGACUGUGAACUGCACAUGAAGCAAGUGCAACCUCAGGCCUGCCUUGCUUCAGAAGGUGGGUAGCUAUGUCUUGCCCUCUUUACAAGUUGAAAAGUGGGGAAACAAUGCAAUGGCUUGAUCAUAAGGUCACUUUCUCUCCAAUCGA